CGCACAUUGCGCCCACUGGUAUUCCGGUGGGCAUGCCUGUUCGAGCGUCAUUAUCCUCUCUCACAUCCCCCGUGAUGUCGUGUUGGGCUACAGUUUUUCGGAAACUGGGCCUCAAAGAUAAUGGCGGUGUCGUAGGACCCUCUGAUGCAACGAGCUUUCGGGCACGCAUUCGGUCAGGGACUUACGACGCCGGUCAUACCCAAUUUUUUAUCAGGUUGACCUCGGAUCAGGUAGGAAUACCCGCUGAACUUAA
rnacentral:misc_RNA from 1 species